GAUGAACGCUAGCGGCAGGCCUAACACAUGCAAGUCGAGGGGUAACAUGGUAGCUUGCUACCGAUGACGACCGGCGCACGGGUGCGCAACGCGUAUACAAUCUGCCCCCUACUGUGGGAUAGCCCAGAGAAAUUUGGAUUAAUACCACAUGGUACCAUAUUACGGCAUCGUAUUUAUGGUUAAAGGUUACGGUAGGGGAUGAGUAUGCGUCCCAUUAGUUAGUUGGUGAGGUAACGGCUCACCAAGACCGCGAUGGGUAGGGGCCCUGAGAGGGGGAUCCCCCACACUGGUACUGAGMCACGGACCAGACUCCUACGGGAGGCAGCAGUGAGGAAUAUUGGACAAUGGGCGGGAGCCUGAUCCAGCCMUGCCGCGUGCAGGAAGAAUGCCCUAUGGGUAGUAAASUGCUUUUAUACGGGAAGAAAAAGGGCUACGUGUAGCCCACUGACGGUACCGUAAGAAUAAGGACCGGCUAACUCCGUGCCAGCAGCCGCGGUAAUACGGAGGGUCCGAGCGUUAUCCGGAAUUAUUGGGUUUAAAGGGUCCGUAGGCGGGCCGAUAAGUCAGGGGUGAAAGUUUGCAGCUCAACUGUAAAAUUGCCUUUGAUACUGUCGGUCUUGAGUUAUAGUGAAGUUGCCGGAAUAUGUAGUGUAGCGGUGAAAUGCAUAGAUAUUACAUAGAACACCGAUUGCGAAGGCAGGUGACUAACUAUAUACUGACGCUGAUGGACGAAAGCGUGGGGAGCGAACAGGAUUAGAUACCCUGGUAGUCCACGCCGUAAACGAUGGAUACUAGCUGUCCGGGUCCUUGAGACCUGGGKCGGCCAAGCCGAAAGUGAUAAGUAUCCCACCUGGGGAGUACGUUCGCAAGAAUGAAACUCAAAGGAAUUGACGGGGGCCCGCACAAGCGGUGGAGCAUGUGGUUUAAUUCGAUGAUACGCGAGGAACCUUACCAGGGCUUAAAUGCAUUUUGACAGGGGUAGAGAUACCUUUUCCUUCGGGCAAUUUGCAAGGUGCUGCAUGGUUGUCGUCAGCUCGUGCCGUGAGGUGUCAGGUUAAGUCCUAUAACGAGCGCAACCCCUACCGUUAGUUGCCAGCGAGUCAUGUCGGGGACUCUAACGGGACUGCCGGUGCAAACCGUGAGGAAGGUGGGGACGACGUCAAAUCAUCACGGCCCUUACGUCCUGGGCCACACACGUGCUACAAUGGCCGGUACAGCGGGAAGCCAUGCGGCAACGCAGAGCGGAUCCACAAAACCGGUCACAGUUCGGAUCGGGGUCUGCAACUCGACCCCGUGAAGCUGGAAUCGCUAGUAAUCGGAUAUCAGCCAUGAUCCGGUGAAUACGUUCCCGGGCCUUGUACACACCGCCCGUCAAGCCAUGGAAGCCGGGAGUGCCUGAAGUCCGUCACCGCAAGGAGCGGCCUAGGGCAAGAUCGGUAACUAGGGCUAAGUCGUAACA
rnacentral:rRNA from 1 species